CAAAUUAAAUGUUACCUAAUCAAAUAUGUUCCCGUUCCAAGUGCAUCGUGCGUAUAGCCUCAAUUCAAUCACUACGAUAGAGAGAUUUGACCUACCAACUACAAGUUCCGGUGCAAGAACGAUAGCCAAUUUAAAUGUUACCUAAACAAAUAGGUUCCCAUUCCAAGUGCAUAGUAUAGCCUCAAUUCAAUCAUUUUGAUAGAGAGAUUUGACCUACCAACUACAGGCUCAGGUACAAGAACGAUAUCCAGUGCUUGGUAAGAAAAUUAGGAGGCAACACUACUUCAAAAGAAAUCCUUUUAGUAAGGACAUCAGAAAGAAAACGAGAUCAAGCAACAAGAACGAUGCUAAAUCAAAGGAAGUCAAAGCCAUCAAAAAGGAAACAAAAUCAAGUUCAGGCGCUAAAGGAAGUCAAGGCUAAAUCAAAGGACAUCGAGGCUUUCAAGAAGGAAACAUAUCAAGUGCAGUUGCUAAAGAAUAUCAAGUCGUAUUUCAAAGAUUGAUUUUGAAUCUGAAGAUACUGAAGAUUGAUCAACCAAAUCAAGCCACAAAUCACUCUCUUGAAUAUGGAUAUGAAAGGGAAGGACGUAAACGAAUCCAGCCCAUCUCUUGUGCAGGAUUCAGAGGCACCCCUUGGGUCAAAUCUCUUAGAGUAUUAUGUGCCUCAAUCAAAGAUCAAUCUGCAACGGCUACUCAAACUCUCCUAUAAGAAGACUGGAAAACUCAAGAAGACGAUCACGCAACUACAUCAUUUGUUUCUAAGCCUUUCUAGUUUUUAGUACAAAUAUUGUAUUCUUGAGUCUACAAGUGUCACAAAAUAUAGGAAGAGUUAGAACACAAAACGAGAGUUGUGUCAACAUUGAAAAAAUCAUUGUUGCUGUAUAUCGUUGAUGGUGAACGUACUAAAACCAUCACUACUGCAAACAUUUAUCAAAGAUCUAAGAGAACCCUUAUAACCCAAGGGAACUGGACGUAGGUACCACAUCGGUACUGAACCAGUAUAAAAAUUA